CGAUAGCGCAGAGCGCAUAAAGGGGGAGCCGAGGGGAGUCACAAGGGACAGCGGCCCUAGGGGCGGGAGCACACGGCGACCAGACCCCCCGGGGUGGGGGCACAAGGAAACACUCCCCAAGCAUUACUGACUGAAUCAGACCCAAUUUAAAUGAGAAAGUUCUUCUUUAUGGAGGAAUCGGUGAUCAGCAUGAUGAAAAAAGGCAUGUGUUAAAAGAAAAGGGCUUCCCAAAAGGAUGGAGGUACCAGGACAUCAGCUGAAAAAUCCUGUUGAAACAAGUCAGACUCUGGACAAAAAGCCAACAGAAAAGACAGUAAAAGAAGAAUACAGUAAAACAAAGGUUCGUUAUGUGACAACGUUCUGCUGUCAGUGGAAAAAAAAUUAGGAGUUUGUUAUCAUUGGCAGGACUUUUACACGCUUCCCUUGCCAAGGAAGUGUAGGCAUGUAUCAGGGCAGUUACUUUAUAUUAAGAAAUGAA